UACGGGGGGGGCAAGCGUUAUUCGGAAUUAUUGGGCGUAAAGGGCGCGUAGGCGGCCACGCGUGUCUUUCGUGAAAUCCCUCGGCUUAACUGAGGACGUGCGGAAGAAACUGCGAGGCUUGAGUCCGGGAGAGGGGGGUGGAAUUCCCAGUGUAGCGGUGAAAUGCGUAGAUAUCGAGAGGAACACCUGCGGCGAAGGCGGGUUGCUGGGCCGACACUGACGCUGAUGCGCGAAAGCCAGGGGAGCGAACGGG
rnacentral:rRNA from 1 species